rnacentral:rRNA from 1 species
UACAGAGGUCUCAAGCGUUGUUCGGAAUUACUGGGCGUAAAGGGUGCGCAGGCCGCGCGGGCAGUCAAAUGUGUAAUCCAGGGGCUCAACCCCUGAACUGCGCUUGAUACUUCCGCGCUCGAGCUUUGGAGAGGAGUCUGGAAUUUACGGUGUAGCGGUGAAAUGCGUAGAUAUCGUAGGAAGACCAGUGGCGAAGGCGGGUCUCUGGACAGUUCCUGACGCUGAGGCACGAAGGCCAGGGGAGCAAACGGG